rnacentral:rRNA from 1 species
GACGAACGCUGGCGGCGUGCUUAACACAUGCAAGUCGAACGAAGUGGCGAACGGGUGAGUAAUACGUGGGUAACCUGCCCUCCUUUUUGGGAUAAGCCUUGGAAACGGGGUCUAAUACCGAAUAAAGGGGGAUGGGCUCGCGGCCUAUCAGCUUGUUGGUGGGGUGAUGGCCUACCAAGGCGGUGACGGGUAGCCGGCCUGAGAGGGUGACCGGCAACAUGGGUGGUGAGAUAGGGCCCGUGCUCCUACGGGGGGCAGCAGUGGGGGUUAUGGAAAAAGGGGGGAAAGCGUGAUGAAGCGACGCCGCGUGGGGGAUGAAGGCUUUGGGGUUGUAAACCUCUUUCGCUAUAGAAAGGGUAGGGGGAGAAGAAGCGCCGGCUAACUACGUGCCAGCCGCCGCGGUAAUAC